ACCGCUUUAGCUCAAUGGGAGAGCAUCGCGUUGUGGCCGCGAGGAUCCAGGUUCAACUCCUGGGGGCGGGACCA
rnacentral:tRNA from 1 species